UGAGAAAUGUAACACGUGAGCCUAUUU
rnacentral:piRNA from 1 species